GGAGAGGUGUCCGAGCGGUCGAAGGAGCACGACUGGAAAUCGUGUAUACGCUAAAACGUAUCGAGGGUUCGAAUCCCUCCCUCUCCGCCA
rnacentral:tRNA from 1 species